CUCCUGCAGGCAGACAAUAUCUGCAUGUGAGUUAGUAAGUUCUUUGAGGAGGGUGUGCCGUUUGUUGGGUGAGUUCAGUCCGCGUACGUUAUGUGUGAUUAUUUUCAUUGUCUGUGGCUAGUGUGGGUGACUGGUAUUUGUGAGUCGUAUGUUACGUGUGUAUGUCGUAGUGUUAGGAGGAGGGGGUGGGCUAAGCCUCAACGGAGCGAGGCGCCUGUCAGGGCGUCCGGUGUGGAUGAUCGUGUGGGUCAGUAACGGGCUUCCGUGGAGUGGUCGGUGUUGUUUACC